UUUGACAUGAAGAAAAAUGUGGCUUUAUAGAGCAUCACAAAGAAGACUUGGAAUUUUAAACCCAGGUGAAACUGUUCAAACUUGAAUAAAAUCUGUGGUGUGCACAGCUGAAGAGCUGUCUCUGAGCUAUGAAGACAGAAAAGAAAGAGAAAACUCACUGAAGUUCUUAAACAGAGGCUUAACUACGUACAAAGGUCUCUUCCCUACUCUGCUGGCAAUUUUCUACAAUAACUUCCCAGUCCACUUUCUGAAGACAGCAGUGAGAAGGAGGUAGAAGAAUCUCUUCUUUACUGUCUUAUGCACAGCUGAAAAUAUUUUGAAGCACCUUCAGGUCUCACAGCAUUUUUCUCUGCUGCAUUAACUCUACUGACUGGCUUUAGUCAGUAUACCUUAAAACUGGCUAAUGAGAAGGAAAAUCAAGAUUUGUAUAUCUUGACUUGUAGUAAUUAAUUUUCUGCUCCAGAAAUAAUGCAGGAGAGGAUGCGUUAAGGGAGUGAAGCAAUGGACAAACGUGUCUGACUCGACAAGUUCUGUUCUCACCCAGUGCUUUUGCAGUG
rnacentral:lncRNA from 1 species